UCGUGUCGUGAGAUGUUGGGUUAAGUCCCGCAACGAGCGCANACCCUCGAUGCUAGUUACCAUCAUUAAGUUGGGGACUCUAGCGUGACUGCCGGUGAUAAGCCGGAGGAAGGUGAGGACGACGUCAAGUCAUCAUGCCCCUUACGUCUUGGGCUACACACGUCCUACAAUGGCAUAGACAAAGGGCUGCAAGCUAGCGAUAGUGAGCGAAUCCCAUAAACUAUGUCUCAGUUCGGAUUGCAGGCUGCAACUCGCCUGCAUGAAGUUGGAAUCGCUAGUAACCGUAGAUCAGCACGCUACGGUGAAUACGUUCCCGGGCCUUGUACACACCGCCCGUCACACCACGAAAGUUUGUCAUACCCGAAACCGGUGGGCUAACCGCAAGGAGGCAGCCGUCUAAGGUAGGGCCGAUGAUUGGGGUGAAGUCGUAACAAGGUAGC
rnacentral:rRNA from 1 species